rnacentral:lncRNA from 1 species
CCUCCCUGUGCCUCAGGUUCUUGCAGAGUGGAAAUGCCCACUUCACAGAAUGGCUGAGGGUGUGGAUGAACGGUGGACGCUCCUGCCCGGCACCCAUGGGUGCUCACGACGAUUGUGUUUUACUGUUGGCUGCAAUAUGUCAUGACUUAUCAUGUGUGAUCCUUGAGUGAAUAGGCAGCUGCGAGCCUGAGCGGACUCCUAUGAACCAGUCUUCUCCAGCAAUAGACCCUCCUUCAACUCGUGGUAGCCUGUACGCCAAGGGUGACAGACUGGAAAGCAGGAUCCACCGGUUCAUCUAUGGGAAAAGGAGGGGGAAUGAGAUCAAGGAUUGAGGACGCUAAUGGAGAUGGGGUUUCACCAUGUUGCCCAGGCUGGUCUUGAACUCCUAGACUCAAGUGAUCCACUCGCCUUGGCCUCCCAAAAUGCUGGAAUUACAGGAGAAAAGCAGUCCUUCUGGUACUGGCUGGGUGUGGUGGCUCACACCUGUAAUCUCAGCACUUUGGGAGGCCAAGACAGGAGAAUUGCUUGAGUCCAGGAGAUUGAGACCAGCCUGAGCAACCUACGGAGACCCCCCUCUCUACCAAAAAAAAAAAAAAAAAAAAA